rnacentral:lncRNA from 1 species
AUUAAUCAAGAAUGACGCGAAUUAAUAUACUGCAAUUGUCUCAAAAGAAUAAUGGAGGAGUCCAAACAAUAAUUAAUGUGGGCUGGAAAGAAUAAAUCUGAGUCCAAUAAACAAUUAAAUAGGCCCAAAUGAAACAAUUAAUCAGCCCAAAAAUAUAUAUAUGGAAUUUGGAAAUAGAAGUCUAUUAAUAACUAUCUCAGCCCAAUUCUUUUGAAAUCAAUAAAGCCCAAACUUUAAAAAAAAAAAACGG